rnacentral:rRNA from 1 species
AGUCGGGGGAAUCCCAGCAAUGGGGGAACCGGCGUAAGGGGCAGUAAGGCGUGGGUAUCUACCCUGGGGUUCGGGAUAGCCAUCAGAGAUGGUGGGUAAUACCGGAUGACCUCGUGAGAGCAAAGAUUUAUCGCCCCGGGAGGGGCCCACGUGAUAUUAGCUAGUUGGUGAGGUAACGGCUCACCAAGGCGAAGAUGUCUAGCGGGUGUGAGAGCACGACCCGCGCCACUCGCACUGAGACACUGGCGAGACACCUACGGGUGGCUGCAGUCGAGGAUCUUCGGCAAUGGGCGCAAGCCUGACCGAGCGACGCCGCGUGCGCGAUGAAGGCCUUCGGGUUGUAAAGCGCUUUAGUGGGGGAGAAAAGCCGAAAGGUUUGAUCUAACCCAAAAAUAAGCACGGGCUAAGUUCGUGCCAGCAGCCGCGGUAAGACGAACCGUGCGAACGUUGUUCGGAAUCACUGGGCUUAAAGGGCGCGUAGGCGGGCUGUCAAGUCUGGGGUGAAAUCCCGCGGCUCAACCGUGGAACUGCCUCAGAUACUGACGGCCUCGAGGGAGGUAGGGGCGAGCGGAACUGUGAGUGGAGCGGUGAAAUGCGUUGAUAUUCACAGGAACUCCGGUGGCGAAGGCGGCUCGCUGGACCUCUUCUGACGCUGAGGCGCGAAAGCCAGGGGAGCAAACGGGAUUAGAUACCCCGGUAGUCCUGGCCCUAAACGUUGGGUACUGGGUAGUAGACUAGACAUGGGUUUACUGCCGCAGCAAAAGUGCUAAGUACCCCGCCUGGGGAGUAUGGUCGCAAGGCUGAAACUCAAAGGAAUUG